GCGAACGCUGGCGGCAGGCUUAACACAUGCAAGUCGAACGGGCUUCUUCGGAAGUCAGUGGCAGACGGGUGAGUAACACGUGGGAACGUGCCCUUCGGUUCGGAAUAACUCAGGGAAACUUGAGCUAAUACCGGAUACGCCCUUUUGGGGAAAGGUUGACUGCCGAAGGAUCGGCCCGCGUCUGAUUAGCUUGUUGGUGGGGUAACGGCCUACCAAGGCGACGAUCAGUAGCUGGUCUGAGAGGAUGAUCAGCCACACUGGGACUGAGACACGGCCCAGACUCCUACGGGAGGCAGCAGUGGGGAAUAUUGGACAAUGGGCGCAAGCCUGAUCCAGCCAUGCCGCGUGAGUGAUGAAGGCCUUAGGGUUGUAAAGCUCUUUUGUCCGGGACGAUAAUGACGGUACCGGAAGAAUAAGCCCCGGCUAACUUCGUG
rnacentral:rRNA from 1 species